AACGAACGCUGGCGGCAUGCCUAACACAUGCAAGUCGAACGAAACCUUCGGGUCUAGUGGCGCACGGGUGCGUAACGCGUGGGAACCUGCCCUUAGGUUCGGAAUAACUCCCCGAAAGGGGUGCUAAUACCGGAUAAUGUCUUCGGACCAAAGAUUUAUCGCCUUUGGAUGGGCCCGCGUUGGAUUAGCUAGUUGGUAGGGUAAAAGCCUACCAAGGCGACGAUCCAUAGCUGGUCUGAGAGGAUGAUCAGCCACACUGGGACUGAGACACGGCCCAGACUCCUACGGGAGGCAGCAGUGGGGAAUAUUGGACAAUGGGGUAAAGCCUGAUCCAGCAAUGCCGGGUGAGUGAUGAAGGCCUUAGGGUUGUAAAGCUCUUUUACCCGGGAUGAUAAUGACAGUACCGGGAGAAUAAGCUCCGGCUAACUACGUG
rnacentral:rRNA from 1 species